UUUGAUUUUGGUCCAGAGAAGAGGCGUGAAAUGGACCUGACACAUGCGAGUCAAGGCUAUAAAUGAUAGGGGACUGUCAAGUGAUACGGGAGGCCUCGUAGUUGCGUGUAGGAGGAGCACAGGCUUUCCUUCCUCCACUACAGCCACCCAAUCAAGUAAUAGCCGGCGUACGGGUGAGUAAUAUGUAGGAAUCUGCCUCUAGGUCAAGGAAGAAAAUUCUGGAUGAGCCAUCCGUGACUCAAAGCGAAAGCGCCUAGAGAUGAGCCUAUGUCUGAUUAGGUAGUUGGCGUGGUAGAGCGCACCAAGCCGAUGAUCGGUAGUUGGUUUGAAAGAAUGAUCAACCACAUUGACACUGAGACAAGGGUCAAGCCCCAUGUGGGGACUGUAGUGGGGAAUAUUGAACAAUCCGCGAAAGCGGGAUUCAGUCUGUUUCGUGAGUGAAAGAUAGAAGGUGCUUGUCGUAAAGCUCAAGAAGAUAAUUUACACUAUGAUAUGAUUAUCGGAGUAGGGGAGGCAAAGACCAGUGCCAGCAGCUGCGGUAAUACUGGCUCCUCUAGUCUAUCUCAUGGUUAUUCGGUGUAAAGGGUGUGUAGGUGGUUUUUCACGUUUAAACUAAAAGACCAGGGCUUAACCUUGGGGAAAUGUUUAGAAACGGUAAAACUUGAGUGCAACAAGGGUUUUUAGAAUUCCAAGUGUAAUAAUAAAAUGUUUGAAUAUUUGGAGGAAUACCGAAGGAGAAGCCAAAUUUCUGGGUUGCAACUGACGCUGAGGCACGAAAGCUACGGGAGCAAAAUGGAUUAGAUACCCAAUUAGUCGUAGCCGUAAACGAUGGAAGCUACAUGUCGGUAAUCCGCAAGGAUGUAAGAUGAUAGUUACGACCUGCGAGGGUCGUAGCGUACACCCCCUGGGAGUCCCUUCUGGAUUUCCCAAGGGGGAUGUACAGUUCCUUGGACCUACGAUCCGAAGGAUGUACGGUCCCCGAAGAGGACCUACGAUGGUAGAUCACUCGUAGAGUGAUCGUACAUCCCCUUCGGGGAUCCGAAAGGAGGGCUGUAA
rnacentral:rRNA from 1 species